rnacentral:pre_miRNA from 1 species
AAAGUACUCCCUCCGUCCCAAAAUUCUUGUCUUACAUUUGUCUAGAUACGGAUGUAUCAAGUCACAUUUUAGUAUUAGAUACAUCCAUAUCUAGACAAAUCUAAGACAAGAAAUUUGGGACAGAGGGAGUAGUUG